rnacentral:rRNA from 1 species
UACGAGGGGGGCAAGCGUUGUUCGGAAUUAUUGGGCGUAAAGAGCGUGUAGGCGGUUUGGUAGGUCCGUUGUGAAAACUCGAGGCUCAACCUCGAGACGCCGAUGGAAACCAUCAGACUAGAGUCCGGAAGAGGAGAGUGGAAUUCCUGGUGUAGCGGUGAAAUGCGCAGAUAUCAGGAAGAACACCCGUGGCUAAGGCGGCUCUCUAGUACGGUACUGACGCUGAGACGCGAAAGCGUGGGGAGCGAACAGG